GGUGUCUGAUGUCUGAAGGCGUCUAGUGCUGCAAGAUCUUAGCCCUGCGCUCUGGUUAUACAUACAGCAGCUGACAUGAAGAAGCGACGCGACCUGGCUGAGACAACCACUCAGCUCCGAGGGCCUGCAUCACAGCAGUUGCUACGUACUACCUCGUGACUUAUGACCCCGUGGGGUUCCCACGGGGUGUAAGUGGCUCCCAUCACGCCAAAGUCAACCUCACCUGCUCGCGGUACACCCUGCUCACCCACUAACGAGGCUCUGGCGCCCCUCCCCAUAUGGGGGCUUAUACCACAUUAUGGGGGGUUUAAAUCGGUAUAUAAUCGGUGUAUUAUACGAUUAUCGCCUAUUUUUAAGCAUUUGAUAAAAAAAAUCCUUUGCUUGAAAAAGCAUAAUUUCUCAACAAUAAAAUUGAUAAGCUGCAAAAGCUUAUUAAAUAAUUAUCUGUUAUUGUGUAACUUAAAUCAAAAUAUGCAACUUAAAUAACGAGGUAUGAUUAUGUGUUGUUUAUUAGAAUACAACGGGUGGCUAGGUCAGUGGUGGUGCGACUUGGUGGUGGUCAAAAGUGCCACAGAAGUGUGUUGGCUUCUUUUCUUUUUGGCA